rnacentral:rRNA from 1 species
AGAGUUUGAUCCUGGCUCAGGACGAACGCUGGCGGCGUGCUUAACACAUGCAAGUCGAACGGAAAGGUCUCUUCGGAGACACUCGAGUGGCGAACGGGUGAGUAACACGUGGGCAAUCUGCCCUGCACUUCGGGAUAAGCCUGGGAAACUGGGUCUAAUACCGAAUAGGACCACGAGACGCAUGCCUUGUGGUGGAAAGCUUUUGCGGUGUGGGAUGGGCCCGCGGCCUAUCAGCUUGUUGGUGGGGUGACGGCCUACCAAGGCGACGACGGGUAGCCGGCCUGAGAGGGUGUCCGGCCACACUGGGACUGAGAUACGGCCCAGACUCCUACGGGAGGCAGCAGUGGGGAAUAUUGCACAAUGGGCGCAAGCCUGAUGCAGCGACGCCGCGUGGGGGAUGACGGCCUUCGGGUUGUAAACCUCUUUCACCAUCGACGAAGGUCCGGGGUUUCUCGGAUUGACGGUAGGUGGAGAAGAAGCACCGGCCAACUACGUGCCAGCAGCCGCGGUAAUACGUAGGGUGCGAGCGUUGUCCGGAAUUACUGGGCGUAAAAGAGCUCGUAGGUGGUUUGUCGCGUUGUUCGUGAAAUCUCACGGCUUAACUGUGAGCGUGCGGGCGAUACGGGCAGACUGGAGUACUGCAGGGGAGACUGGAAUUCCUGGUGUAGCGGUGGAAUGCGCAGAUAUCAGGAGGAACACCGGUGGCGAAGGCGGGUCUCUGGGCAGUAACUGACGCUGAGGAGCGAAAGCGUGGGGAGCGAACAGGAUUAGAUACCCUAGUAGUCC